rnacentral:rRNA from 1 species
GGUGGUCAGGAUGAGAAAUCUAAGGCGGACAGGCUAACUCUCGUUAAGGAACUCUGCAAAAUUGCCCCGUAACUUCGGGAGAAGGGGUGCCCCUGAGUGUGAGCAUACACGCGAUGUUAAGCGCUUGGGGGUCGCAGUGAAGAGGCUCAAGCAACUGUUUAACAAAAACACAGGUCUAUGCUAAGCUGUAAGGCGAUGUAUAUGGGCUGACACCUGCCCAGUGCCGGAAGGUUAAGAGGAGGAGUGAGAGCUCCGAAUUGAAGCCCCGGUGAACGGCGGCCGUAACUAUAACGGUCCUAAGGUAGCGAAAUUCCUUGUCGGGUAAGUUCCACCCGCACGAAAGGCGUAACGAUUUGGAUACUGUCUCGG